rnacentral:tRNA from 1 species
GUCCCUGUGGCGCAAUGAGUAGCGCGUUGGACUUCUAAUCCAAAAGUCGUGGGUUCGAAUCCCACCUAGGAAA